UACGUAGGGUCCGAGCGUUUGUCCGGAAUUAUUGGGCGUAAAGAGCUCGUAGGCGGUUUGUCGCGUCUGCUGUGAAAACUCGAGGCUCAACCUCGGGCUUGCAGUGGGUACGGGCAGACUAAAGUGCGGUAGGGGUGACUGGAAUUCCUGGUGUAGCGGUGGAAUGCGCAGAUAUCAGGAGGAACACCGAUGGCGAAGGCAGGUCACUGGGCCGCAACUGACGCUGAGGAGCGAAAGCAUGGGGAGCGAACAGG
rnacentral:rRNA from 1 species